rnacentral:tRNA from 1 species
GCCUGGCUGGCUCAGAUGGUAGAGCAUGCAACUCUUAAUCUUAAAGCUGUGAGUUCAAGCCCCAUGUUGGGUG